rnacentral:misc_RNA from 1 species
GGCUGACCGAGUUUAAGCAUAUAUAAAAGAUUCUAGCUAGAUGAUCUCCAAGGUUGUAGAGAUUUUCAAGAUUAUUGCUCUCUCUAGAAUUAGUGACAUCUUCUCUUCGAUGCCAUAAAUUCCUGAACUUUCAGUUCAUGGCCUAAGUCAGACUCGGCCGGCCCCCAAAUUUUUUCUGCUGAUACCAUUCCUUCAACCUCCAAUAACCCUAAAAUACACCAACAGCAGAGAUACAGAAGAGGAAGAAGACCUCUUACCUUAUAAAUGACAUAUAUAUAUGAUUUUUUUAUGUAGAGCUGAGUAAUUUUACUAAUUAUGCUCUCUCUCUCUCUCUCU